rnacentral:lncRNA from 1 species
AUAGCCGUAACCGUGUAAUAAUCCCUUAGAUAGCUUAACCAGAAGAUGGUAGUAACGAGCCUAAGUAGUUUACUUUCAAAUUGUAAGGACUGAAUGCUUUUACUCCCAGUACUUUGCUCAAUUUGUACUGGAUACUUCAACGAAAAACCGAUAUGAUUAUUAAACGAUCAUUCUCUUUUGCUGAAAUCAUAAAUGUAUCUAGAUUACAUGCAAUAAGCGACACACAUCUUAUAGUUUGUAUCAUCACAAUAAAUUCAUGAAGAGCAGGUCAUUUACAAGAUUUCUUCCUAUUAAGAUGAAGAAAUGUAAGAAAACAUUAUUACCGCAGAGAAUAAGUCUUUCAAGAUAUUAAGACAUCAUUACUGCCUCACUAGAGUCUUCUUGCACACUCAAUUUUAUAAUUUUUCGAAAAAGCCUAAAGAUACACUUCCAAGGUGAUCAAAAACUUGUUCCAACAAGAUCAUAAUCUUGUUGACACAUAUAUUUAAUUUAGUUAAUUAAUUUUGGUAAGGAUAAAAUUUUAAUUCAAAAUUUGUUUUUCUAAGUGACUAUGGCCUAUUUAGAAAGAAACGAAGCGAGCGACGUUGCCAGAUCGUUAGUUGUCAAUGUCAUGAGUUCGCUUAUCGUUAAUUAUGUUAAUACACAUUUAAUCUUUUUUAAUAUUUUUAGAACAUAGAGACGCCAAAAGGACAGAUUAAUCAGAAUGCACAUAACCUUACUUCUUAUUUGGUAGAAAAUAAUAUACAGGCUGGUUUUUUUAUAAAAUAUUUACAAUUUAAAAAAAGAAUAGAUUAUGAAUCAUAGGGUAGAUAUUAAUAGAGACAUAAAAAAGAAGUGAAAUAAAAGGAAAAUGAAAAGAUAAAAAGAGGGAGGAGGUUGUAACAGAGUUGUAAAAUCCGUCGCCGUCGUCGUUUUUACGAUCUCGCGCCGCUGCGAGGAAGAGAUGUGAAAUAAAAAAAAGGGGUAACAAAAUAAUUGUCAAUUAGAGCCGCGUCGCAUCGUUCAGAGGCAAUCGCCGUUUUUAUAGGCCGCCCCGUACACAAAGGAAAUUUGCCGUGGCCAACAAAACUUUAAAAAAGAAAUGUAAUAAAGAAUCUACAAGGAAGACAUUACACAAAAAAAACAAUCCAAAAAUAAUCGAAUAACAAUAGAAAAUUACUUUAUUUAUUAUAAGUAAAUUUACCCAAUAAUACCAACGUAAAUUGCCUAUUAUAUUCAACAGUCAAAGCACACGACGAAGGUUUUUGGUUUAGAAUACAGCCCCCAAAAACCUAAUACUACUAAAAUAGAAUCGAAAUCGUAUUGAAUACGGCAGGGUGAACGUUAAAAGCAAUUUUAUACCAGGAGAAACGAAGUGAUGUGAAACGAAGAGAUGUGAAUAGAAGAGGAGCGCCGUGUGGUGUGAAUGUCGUUUCCGGUACAGUUAAACUGAGUUAAACAUCGACAAAUCCGCGUGAAAUACGGGGGGCGUGUUAGGCUUACGGCCAAUUGCCUUCGUAAACUGUAAACCGACCCUGCUGCAACACAACCUCUUUCGACGGGGUUUAUAAAAGGGCGUUUAAGGGCGUCAAAUCGAUCGCCAACAACCCCAGGUACGGUGGCUUCGCGAGAAUAGGGCAAUUUGUCCAAACCGUUUACUUUUAAUCCCCGAUGGAACUGUCGAUCAGGAUUUAGCGAAAACGUAUUAAGUUGGUAUUUCUUCCCGACGCCGUCUUUUAUUAAAAAAAAAUGAAUCAAAAGAAUUUUUUCGAAAUUACCAUCAAAAUUUUAUCCGAGUAGUUUUUUUUUUCCUUUAACAAAGCCUUGAUGGACAUUCUCUCUUUAUGCGGAUGCUGCCUUGAAAUGAAAAGCGAUGAUCCCCCCGAGAAAGUUAUCUUCUUGACAGAUGUCCGGGGCUUUGCUAUGCACGAGUGGUUCGGACACCGGAAAAGAGCAGUAAACAUCGAAUAAUACCCGGAGCAGUGUUCCGGUUCCCGAGUUCCCGGCUUUCCGCCCGCCAGCUCCAUCUAUCGGAUGACGUCACAACUCAUUCCAUCUCUUUUUAACUUUAAUGCGAAAUGACCAGAGAUGGAGCUAACCGCGAACGUAAUGAAAACGAGACGGAGAAUGUAAAAGAAAUCGAAGAAGGGUUUCACCCCAUUUCUCCAACUCGAAUUGAGAGUUUAAUGGAUGAAAAGUUUUUGGUUUGAGAAAGUUUUUUCGAUGUAAAUAAAUUUUUUUGUUUUUGUUAAAACAAUUUAUAAAAAAAUACUUAAGCAGGUACAUUAGUAAAAUAAAGAUCUUUGAGUAUAAAAACUUUCACUACCAUUAGAACUAACACGACUUAGAACUAGAAACAUUCUGGUUUAGCCACGCUAAACCCGAAACUUUCUAGUUCUAGGUCUACUGUUAGUUAUAGUUAUUCAGCGCUACAUUGUUGUACUAUACUAGACCUAGAACUGGUGUAGUUCAACCCGAAAUUUUAAAAAUAAGAUGGAAAACUAAUUUUGUAACGAAAUAGGAGCUGGCAGAAGUUUUUUUUUAAUAUUUACUGUUUUAGACAUGAUGAGAAAGCUGCUGCAGCUCAAAUUAAGCUGAUCAAAGAUUCUGCUCAACCUAAGAUUUGCUAAAAAUCAUGGAAAACUACUUUUGUAAUGAAAUAGAAAAGGGAGAAGUAUUUUUUUAAAACAUUUGCUGAUUUAGACAUGAUGAGAAAGCUGCUGUAGCUCAAAUUAAAGUGAUCAAAGAUUCUGUUCAACCCAAAAUUUUCUAAAAAUCAUGACAUGACGAGAAAACUGCUGCAGCUCAAAUUAAACUGAUCAAAGAUUCUGCUCAACCUAAGAUUUGCUAAAAAUCAUGAAAAACUACUUUUACAUAAUGAUAAAGCUGCUGCAGCUCAAAUUAAACUGAUCGAAGAUUCUGCCCAACCUAAGAUUUGCUAAAAAUCAUGGAAAACUAGUUUUGUAAUGAAAUAGGAAAUAACAGAUUUAUUUUUUUAAAGCAUUUGCUGAUUUAGACAUGAUGAGAAAGCUGCUGUAGCUCAAAUUAAACUGAUCAAAGAUUUCUGUACAACCCGAAAUUUGCUAAA